AUUGAACGCUGGCGGCAGGCCUAACACAUGCAAGUCGGACGGUAGCACAGAGGAGCUUGCUCCUCGGGUGACGAGUGGCGGACGGGUGAGUAAUGUCUGGGGAUCUGCCCGAUAGAGGGGGAUAACCACCGGAAACGGUGGCUAAUACCGCAUAACGUCGCAAGACCAAAGAGGGGGACCUUCGGGCCUCUCACUAUCGGAUGAACCCAGAUGGGAUUAGCUAGUAGGCGGGGUAAUGGCCCACCUAGGCGACGAUCCCUAGCUGGUCUGAGAGGAUGACCAGCCACACUGGAACGGAGACACGGUCCAGACUCCUACGGGAGGCAGCAGUGGGGAAUAUUGCACAAUGGGCGCAAGCCUGAUGCAGCCAUGCCGCGUGUAUGAAGAAGGCCUUCGGGUUGUAAAGUACUUUCAGCGGGGAGGAAGGCGGUGCGGUUAAUAACCGCGCCGAUUGACGUUACCCGCAGAAGAAGCACCGGCUAACUCCGUGCCAGCAGCCGCAGUAA
rnacentral:rRNA from 1 species